rnacentral:lncRNA from 1 species
GUCAAAACCAGAUUACAAUAAUGAGAUGUAUCCACCAAUCCAAAGAAAAGAGGGGCGGGAGCUAAACAGCCCACCGUGGUGCUUUGUGAACAACAUUUUACAUUUCAGUCAUUUAGCAGACACUCUUAGCCAGAGUGAUUUGCAGUUGUUUGUGCAUAGAUUAUUGUAUUUUUUUUCUCCAUGCUGGUACCCUGUGGGAAUUGAACCCACAACCCCGGUGUUGCAAGUGUAACAGUGUAGGUUCCGUCCCUCUCUUCGCCCCAACCUGGGCUCGAACCAGGGACCCUUGCACACGUCAACAACUGACACCCACAAUGCAUCGUUACCCAUCGCGCCCAUUACCCAAAAGCCACAGGCCCUUGCAACGCAAGGGGAAACCCUACUUCAAGUCUCAGAGCGAGUGAUGUCACUGAUUGAAAUGCUAUUAGCGCGCACCACCACUAACUAUUUGGCUGUACUGAAAGCUGUACUGAAAGACCAGUUGAAAAACAGGGAAGAUUUGAGUCACACCCACCAAAUGGGAACAAACGUACCUCAAAGUCGACAAGAACGUUUUGGGGGGAAGAGUCCGCAACGUAGCAAACGUUCAAGCGAAUUGAACGCACCUCAGAAAAAAGUUACUGUUGCAAACGUAGUUGGCGUGGCUGCUGAAACUGGAGUCAAAGGAGCAAUCUAAGGAUUACGGGUUAUAAUAACGGACAACGUGUCUUUAGAAUAAUCUAAAUGGCUGGUGCUGGUGCUGUUGCUGUUGCUACGACGACUGAGAGUCCUAAAACAAUAGUCCGGAAAUCCCAAGUAGGUUUAUGGUCUGCUUGCCCUCAGAAGAGAUAUUGUCCUCUCACCUCUUCGACCACUAAAGUCCCCAAGUCUUCCUCCACUGCCUUCCAGGAGUUUCAGAGGAAAUUCAAGCGGCUAUCCCAAGACUAGUUUGUAUUGCCUCCAGUUAUGGAAUGGAGGAGUGGAGUGAGGACUGUUGACAAUCUGAUUCUUGUAACUUGUUUCCCAUGGAAAUAUAGUCUGUGUACAAUUUCGUUUUUUUGUUUGUUUAUGACAACCUUUUUCAUAACAUAAUUUUGUUAUUUUGGAAUGCAGAAAUUGACCUUAUUGUGGUAAGGUUGGGCAGUUCAUAAUGUUUUUUAUUUUUCUUUAUUGUAGUUAUUGUUUACAUUCUUAAAUGACUGAGCCAAUAUAUCUGACAGUAUCCUCCUCUACCUCAGGCCUGACGGUCAACAUUGCGAGACUUUGUCAUUAAAAAACAUUAACCAAAGUGUUGUGGCCCAUUGGAUGGCUAUUUUCUUUUCACUGUCAUUUCAGACUUUAAAAAAAAAAGUUUGGGGUUAACAAUAUUUUAUGCAAACCUCAUGUUUAUUGUUUGCAUGGAUUACAGAAUUCGCACUAUGCAAAGUGUACUGCAGUUUGUUUGAAUUUGUAGGCUACAUAAUUUCACUUCUUGACUCUUACCUUCUACACUCUCAUACCUUAUCAAUAGUUACCUUCUCAAUAGUUAUUUUGCUGGAGUUUAAAAUGUUUCCUUUUGUUGCCACAGGAUGAACAGUACCGUAUGGUUCAAGAUGCUGUGACAGCUUAAACAAUGCUGCACUGCAGUAGUUAGACCUUUGUAUUCUGGUUCUGUAUUUUAGUAUUAAACUUUUAUAGUUAUUCGUAGUUAUAGAUUCAAAUUUGUGACAGACAAAAACUGAACGUGUGACAGACAAAAACAAUCAACACUGACAGGAAACGUGUGUCAUUAGUAACCUGGUGCAUUAACGUAUAUUUUUUAAAACUUUUUAUUUUUUUUACCUAGUGUUAUUUCUUUAAUAUGUUGGUUUAUUUUAUUUGUUUCUAAAUAAAUAUUUUACAUACUUACAUUGAUAUUUAUCUCUAGAGCAUCCUUCACUUGGAUUUUCUUGUUGACUUUAGAGGGUACUUGCAGGCUGGGUACAUUCUAUUGCCAGAGCCAGAUGAGUCUAUUGGUUAGGUGUGAAUGCUAAUCCAGAGCAAUUAGCACUAGUCUGUGACACUGUUGGGUGUCAAUUGCUUAGGCUCCCAGAGUUGUUCUGGAUUGCAAACAAAAGUUGUUCUCACAUGAGACCCUUUGAAUUCUUAGGAUGUUUUUUUGAUGGCCUCUUUCAAACCACUUUUAUAUUACACCUCCACCUUUGUUCAGACACUCAGAAUGUGGAGGUCGUUGCAGAAUGUCCACAACGCUCAGGUGACAACGCAAUGUCUCAACCAUUAGGGGUUUGUACCCAUUUUUUUCACAAUUCCUGACAUUUAAUCCAAGUAAAAAUUCAGUGUUUAGGUACAUGACUACAUUAGCAAAUGCCCAUGACUACAUUUGUUACAUCUGGACAUACAAAUGGAGACAGGAUGGUAACAAAAUGACCAAUACAUGAAACAUGUAUACAAUAAAUGUAUAAUUUUUGUAUUACAUAAACGGUCCUGCCACCAUUAUAAUUUAACUCUAAGCAGAUGUGGGCGUUAAUGGGCGUGAACAAGCAAGACCAGGCACUAAAAGAGAAGGAUGGCGAAAGGACAAGGGGAGUUAUUCCAUUUGCAUGUGGGGUGUACCCAUAUGCGUUAUGUAAGGAUGUAAUGCUAUAAAGGCAAAGCUCUGUGCUGAGAAAGACUGUUGUUCCAUGGAAUAGCACGACUUUGCUAUUUUGUAAUAAAGUCUAAUUUGAAUUCACAAGUUCCAGUAAAGGUGUAAUAUUUCUGAGUCAAUAUUCCACAACAAUAUCAAUAAAUAUCUGUUCAUUUAACUUAGACUUGGAGUCCUUAGUGGUAGUUUCGACAAGUAUGUAAACAUUAAAUUGACCAGUACAUACAGUGAGGGGGAAAAGGUAUUUGAUCCCCUGCUGAUUUUGUACGUUUGCCCACUGACAAAGAAAUGAUCAGUCUAAAAUUUUAAUGGUAGGUUUAUUUGAACAGUGAGAGACAGAAUAACAACAACAAAAAUCCAGAAAAACAUGUCAAAAAUGUUAUAAAUUGAUUUGCAUUUUAAUGAGAGAAAUAAGUAGCACAGCUGCUUCCUGCCACAGACCAAGCAACAGGAUACAGUAUAUCUAUGUACUAGACAGCAGACAGAAACAGCAGAAACACACAGCUCUAAUCGAAUACUCCCAGAUGGCAUAUUCUCAAUGCAAUUAUUCAGUUUGCAUCUCAGCUACAGAUCACUCCUCAUCAAUUCACUACAGAUCAGACUGGAUGGGAAACAAAUGGAUUUACACAACCCACACUGUUACAGCCCUGCUACACUGUUUGUAUGGCAGAGAGACUCAAUGCAUGCAAGAAUACAGACCUGAUAAUACUGUAGAACACAUUUUGCAUAUCAAAUAUUUAUUUAUUUUAUUACUAUUUGGCAUUGCUUUUGUUUAGCCCAUUUAUUUUUAUAGGGGUAGGCUUUACCAUGACUGUUUGUAAUUUUGGAAAAACGUAAUAAAAAAAUGGAAAAGAACAGAUAAUUGGACCCAUUGUCUGGUGAAUGAUGUCAUGUGAGAUUAAAUGGAUAAUAACAUGAGUGAACUGGUGCUGAUGCCUAUUCAUCAACAAAAAGAUAUUGAGCACAUGGAAAGAUUCAGUAGGUUUUUUUUACUUUGUUGGCAUGAAAGCCAAGGCACAUGAAAUUGACUAUCCAAAGUAACC